rnacentral:lncRNA from 1 species
GAGGUGCAUUUGGACAGCCCCUCGGUUAACUGGGUGACAAGGCUCUCCCUCAGGUGGCUAAGACCCAUGGCCACAGGAAGGGUGGCCCAUCUCCUCCCUGCCUCCUCUCCCACCCCCUUAAACUUGACCGGACUCUGGGCAGGACAGAGCAGCUUUGCCUUCCCCAGCUUAUCUCGCCCCAUAUAGUUGUCAGCUGGAGGGGAAGACACAAAACAAAGAGAGGAGCCCGGGGACUCUGAGGCCAAAGUGCAAUAACUGCAGGAAGUAUGGGGCAAGGGCAACAGGGAGCAGAGUGGAGUAGUGUGUGCCAGGCGCACGCACCCACCCUCCUGCUGUACCUCAGCAAGGUGGGCUUGGCGGGGCUCUGGGUGAUGGGAGGGGUGAGUGUGAAUGAGAUGACAGGAAGACAUCUUCCGUUUUGAAGUAUUCAGGUUCUAGACCUGUUCCAUCUGCUGAAUACACAAGGGUACAGCCAGGGCCACAGCCAGGGCCAGGGCGGGUGAAACACACCUGUAAGAGAAGGAGAAAAUGCUUCCAGAAACAGGAAGCCCAGGCCCAGGCUCCCUUUUUUUUUUUUGCAAUGCUUCUCUGCAAUUCUUUGUACCCCCCCCCAAACGGGUCCAUCACUAGAGUGUGUCUCCAUGGCAACAGGCUCAGUGGGGAAGCCAGGCGGCAUUACCCAGAAUUCACAUCUGUGCUUGUUUCUCUCCCCUCCCUGUAGCUGCAAAUGGAAAGCAGCUCUUCAGUAACACAACCCCGCAGCUGCCGGUUCCUGGAAGAGAGGAAGGGGAGGUUUCUUUCUGGGGUUAUUUUCC